rnacentral:rRNA from 1 species
UACGGAGGGGGCUAGCGUUGUUCGGAAUUACUGGGCGUAAAGCGCACGUAGGCGGCUUUGUAAGUUAGAGGUGAAAGCCCAGGGCUUAACUCUGGAAUUGCCUUUAAGACUGCAUCGCUCGAAUUGUGGAGAGGUGAGUGGAAUUCCGAGUGUAGAGGUGAAAUUCGUAGAUAUUCGGAAGAACACCAGUGGCGAAGGCGACUCACUGGACACAUAUUGACGCUGAGGUGCGAAAGCGUGGGGAGCAAACAGG